CCUACGGGUGGCUGCAGUGAGGAAUAUUGGUCAAUGGACGGGAGUCUGAACCAGCCAUGCCGCGUGCAGGAUGACGGCUCUAUGGGUUGUAAACUUCUUUUGUCCGAGAAUAAUGUGUCGUACGUGUAGGGAUUGGAGUGUAUCCGACGAAUAAGGAUCGGCUAACUCCGUGCCAGCAGCCGCGGUAAUACGGAGGAUGCGAGCGUUAUCCGGAUUUAUUGGGUUUAAAGGGUGCGUAGGCGGACGCUUAAGUAAGCGGUAAAAUUGCGGGGCUAAACCGCGUCCAGCCGUUGAAACUGGGUGCCUAGAGAGGGCAUGAAGUAGGCGGAAUGAGUGGUGUAGCGGUGAAAUGCAUAGAUAUCACGCAGAACACCGAUUGCGAAGGCAGCGUGCCAACGCCCAACUGACGCUGAUGCACGAAAGCGUGGGUAUCGAACAGGAUUAGAUACCCUAGUAGUC
rnacentral:rRNA from 1 species